rnacentral:rRNA from 1 species
UACGUAGGGUGCGAGCGUUAAUCGGAAUUACUGGGCGUAAAGCGUGCGCAGGCGGUUUGGUAAGUCUGAUGUGAAAUCUAUGGGCUCAACUCAUAGUCUGCAUCGGAAACUGCCGGGCUUGAGUGUGGGAGAGGUGAGUGGAAUUCCUGGUGUAGCGGUGAAAUGCGUAGAUAUCAGGAGGAACACCUGUGGCGAAAGCGGCUCACUGGACCAUAACUGACGCUGAUGCACGAAAGCUAGGGGAGCAAACAGG